AUUGAACGCUGGCGGUAUGCUUAACAUAUGCAAGUCGAACGGCAGCACGGUAUGUAGCAAUACAUAUGGGUGGCAAGUGGCCGACGGGUGAUUAACGCGUAGGAAUCUGCACUCAAGCGGGGGACAACCCGAGGAAACUCGGGCUAAUACCGCAUAAACUCGGAAGCGAAAAGCUGGGGUAACCUGGCACUUGAGGAGGAGCCUGCGUCUGAUUAGCGAGUUGGUAGGGUAAAGGCCUACCAAUGCGAUGAUCAGUAGCUGGUCUGAGAGGAUGACCAGCCACACUGGAACUGAGUCACGGUCCAGACUCCUACGGGAGGCAGCAGUGGGGAAUAUUGGACGAUGGGGGAAACCCUGAUCCAGCAAUACCGCGUGUGUGAAGAAGGCCUUCGGGUUGUAAAGCACUUUAGUUGGGGAGGAAGGUUAGCAGUUUAAGAGAUGGCUAAUUUGACUGUACCCAAAGAAUAAGCACCGGCUAACUCUGUGCCAGCCGCCGCAGUAA
rnacentral:rRNA from 1 species